AUGUUCUCACGGCGCUGCGGCGACUCGUGGCGACCUACCCCCCUCACAACGCCUAGGCGUAUAAGGCGCGCGGCGAGGUGACGCCAUAGAGCAUCAUUGGAGGGAGAAUUCUCAUCAUCGGUGACAUCUACAUCAUCAUAUGGAUCUUGAAGCUCUUCCUCUUCUUCAUUCUCUGAACCCAUGUGUUCAUCUUCAUCAUCUUCAACAAUUGUAGCAGAACUUCUUGCACGUUUCCUGUAAGUGAUUGGCUCACCAUGGUUGUAUCUAUGAGCUGUCCUAGGAAGAUUGCGACCACGAAGUGCUUCUGAUGCUCCAACAACUUCAUCAACAAGAUUCCAUGUGAGACCAUCAUCUAACUCGCAGCCACGAUGACCUUGAGGAGGUACAUGCAACGAAUCAGCCCAUUCAUUGUCCCAAUCAAAAUGUGAAAUGACCAAAGGAUCAAUGUUUUUCUUCUUCUGACGCAACAUUUGAAAUCUAGUUUUCAUCUUGCGGUUGUAUGAAAUGAAGACAAUGGCAUUCAAUCUCUUAUGUAGCAGCCGGUUCCUUUUCUUUGUAUGGAUCUGGAAAGAUCAUGGAUUAGUAAUUAUAUAUUUUGCUGAAAAACAGCAAACAAACUA